rnacentral:rRNA from 1 species
GAGUUUGAUCCUGGCUCAGAUUGAACGCUGGCGGCAUGCCUUACACAUGCAAGUCGAACGGCAGCAUGAUCUAGCUUGCUAGAUUGAUGGCGAGUGGCGAACGGGUGAGUAAUACAUCGGAACGUGCCCUGUAGUGGGGGAUAACUAGUCGAAAGAUUAGCUAAUACCGCAUACGACCUGAGGGUGAAAGUGGGGGGACCGCAAGGCCUCAUGCUAUAGGAGCGGCCGAUGUCUGAUUAGCUAGUUGGUGGGGUAAAGGGCCCACCAAGGCGACGAUCAGUAGCUGGUCUGAGAGGACGAUCAGCCACACUGGGACUGAGACACGGCCCAGACUCCUACGGGAGGCAGCAGUGGGGAAUUUUGGACAAUGGGCGAAAGCCUGAUCCAGCAAUGCCGCGUGUGUG